rnacentral:rRNA from 1 species
UACGGGGGAGCAAGCGUUGUUCGGAUUUACUGGGCGUAAAGGGCGCGUAGGCGGCCACCGCAAGUCGACUGUGAAAUCUCCGGGCUUAACCCGGAAAGGUCAGCCGAUACUGCGGGCUAGAGUGCAGAAGGGCAACUGGAAUUCUCGGUGUAGCGGUGAAAUGCGUAGAUAUCGAGAGGAACACCUGCGGCGAAGGCGGGUUGCUGGGCUGACACUGACGCUGAUGCGCGAAAGCUAGGGAGCGAACGGG